rnacentral:lncRNA from 1 species
CAACAAACUGGCCAGAAGUUUGGCCCAGAGGUCUGUUUGCAGAUGUGAACAAAUCCUUUCUCUUAGUGGAGGUCUUUUUCUUGGAACCCAGCUCCUGUGCUCAUGGAUGAGAAGGCUUUGUCCCUUGUUGACUCCAGGAAUGCGGAAGCCCAGCUGCCCACCCCUGUUGAGAAGGCUGUGUGCUCUGGAGACUCGCCGGAAGAAUCAGAAUCAUACUAAUGAAAUCCUCAUCUCCUGCUUUUAUCUGUCUACAAAAUGAAGUUAAGAGCGAUGCUGGAUGGGCAUCCUGGAAGAAAAUUGAUUCUCCCUUCCCUAGUGGCCACCAGUUAUCACGAGCCCCUUGCCAGCCUACAUUGGAUUUUUGCUGCUGUGAUCUUAUGUAUGUCGUGUACAUGCAUCUGCAGUCACGGUGAG